UGGGGAAUAUUGCGCAAUGGGGGAAACCCUGACGCAGCAACGCCGCGUGAGUGAUGAAGGCCUUCGGGUUGUAAAGCUCUGUCUUUGGGGACGAUAAUGACGGUACCCAAGGAGGAAGCCACGGCUAACUACGUGCCAGCAGCCGCGGUAAUACGUAGGUGGCAAGCGUUGUCCGGAUUUACUGGGCGUAAAGAGUAUGUAGGUGGAUUUUUAAGUCAGAUGUGAAAUUCCCGGGCUUAACCUGGGAGCUGCAUUUGAAACUGGAAAUCUAGAGUGCGGGAGAGGAAAGUGGAAUUCCUAGUGUAGCGGUGAAAUGCGUAGAGAUUAGGAAGAACACCAGUGGCGAAGGCGACUUUCUGGACCGUAACUGACGCUGAGAUACGAAAGCGUGGGGAGCAAACA
rnacentral:rRNA from 1 species